AGUGGGUCUAGAUGACCCAACUCCCAAUGUUAAAGUGCCUAGGAUAGCACAAGAGUUACGCUGUCAAGGCGUUUUUAGGUUCAGCGGAAAUUUUUUAUUACAUCAAUCAUGGACUACGUUACAAAAAAAAAAAGUCUUCGAGUGUGGUGUGAUCAUAUCCUACUGUGAUGAACCCCAGCAGGCGUCAAAGUCACAGCCUCAGUGCAGCUACUCCUCCGUCUCUUGCAUUAGAAAGGAUUCAAUUCUUUCUCCCAAUGAAAAAAAUAAUCACCCAAACACAAACCUCCAUACUUUUUUCCACUGUUUUCUUUGCAAAAAUGAGAAAAAUUAUGAUCAUGUUUUCAAUCCAUCUAAAUGUUUGUCUGUAAGAGGAACAUCUGGCUCACAGAAGAGAGUUGUGUUUGUUUACGACUGCACAAUGAAGCAAACUACAGUUUUCACUUUGAACCAACUUUCUUUACUGCAGUUGUUUUAAAGUCAGAGGUUGUAUCAGAAUUCCUUCACUACUCUAUGACCCCUUAUAGACUUUAUAGUGUGGGACUAUCCAACGUCCUAGAUUUGAAUGCCAUUCAGAUGACUUUUUUUAAAGGCAAAUAUGACGCCACCCAUUUGCCGAAGUAAAAACCUAAUGAUGAAAAUGUGGAGGAUUUAUCAAAUAUAAAUUGAAAUGCAUAUUUACAUAUGACAAACUGUUCAAUUGCAAUGCAUUGUGUUCUAUAUUUACCAGUGUAGUGAUCAUCAAUGCUCACUAGUAUUUUUACAGAAACUUCUGGGAAAUUUCUAGCACACUGGAUUUUAAAAUUGUUGAUUUGAACAACCUGAAGAAAUGGUGAUAGCCGUAUGGGGGCCACUUGAGUCAAUGAGGGAAUUUGGAAACAACUAGUGUGUCUCCUGAAUCCUUCAGUGCAUUUUUAUUUGGUCAGGUUCUUCUUUUCUAAACAGGUUUCAUGUACCAACAUGGUUCAGGACCUAAAUGCCUUCUCAUAAGGAGAAUAGUGGUUCAUUUGGGGGCUAACUCCUAAAUAUGGCUGUUAUGGUGGCACCUAACAGCAGAGGCCACUUCAAAGCUGGAGGAAGAGAAAGACCACCAACAUCUGGGUUUUAUUAGAGAACACUAGAAUGUUACCAAUAUAGGAGCUCAUCUUAGAAAAUAGGAGUUUGUUCCAGUUCUAAACAACAAACACCAGGAGGACAAAAAGUGUCUUUAGAUAAAUGUUUCCCGGUUUAAAUUAGACUUUUAUGGUGAAAACUACAAUUAAAGAGUUCAAGAGUGUGUCCAUCAGCCAACAGAGUAACAUCUCCAUCUCCCCAGGUAGCUAUAAGUUCUGCUGAGUCAGCGUUUGACAUGUUCUCCUACAGGAGGGAGUGCGCUCCAGUUUUCCUUUUAUUUUUCUGCUGUUUUUUUUUUAAGUCUAGUUUGUUUUCUUUAAUGCAGACACUGCUGUGGCUGCAGCUGGAGGCACCACUUCCUGUCUACAGCUGAGAGGACUUUUCCUGGGAAAAAAUGGAGCCUGCUGGGUCUUCUGCGUUCAGGAACCGGUUAAAUUACUGCAGAAAAACUGGCCUAUCAAGUUGUUAAGACUACUUUUCUCAUAUGGUGGCAGAGAGGAAAGAAACCACAGCUUUACUUCCCCUCCUUUUCCUCUUCUUUACAUCUUCCUGUUUCAUAAUCAUUUCUGUCCGUCUCCAUUGCUUCAUUGUUCGUCAAAGAUUCUUUCACUGUUUGGCUUUCCUGAUGGUAAUACACGAUGGACCUCCACCCGCUCUUUGGAACGCUGCGACGGCGGUCCGGUUCCUACAUGCCAUCAUGCUUUCCAUAUCCUGUGCAGCAAACAAACCAACUUGGAGCCGAGUUUAUUGUGGCAGACCUGAGCAGAUGCCGAAUUUUAUUCACAGCAGCAGUUGUUUGUGAUUUAAAUUGAACUUAAAGAACUGACAGUGUUAUGUUUAACCAGACCAGUUCUACUCAGAAAGGUUGCUGUGCAGAGAAAAGAUGGAGGAAAUGUAGCGGUCAGUUUUGUCAGGAAAAGAAACUUCACACAAGUCUGUAAUGAAAAGACGGGUUUCGGUUUUGAUCGUGUCUGUUCACUGAAACAGUUCUAGAGUGGUCAGGCAGGUGGAACAAAAUGGUUCUAAAUCCCAGGCAGUCCCUCUUUUCCUGACUGUGCAUCAGAGCGAGACGUUCCAGAGCUUUCCUUUGAGGUCUUUGAAGGAGCAGCAGAACAGUUAAAGUCCAACUCUGGAGUGACUCGGGAAAACUCUGCUUAAGAUCGGACCUUUGGUUCUGUGAUGCAAUAACUCUGCAGAACCAUCAGUCAGUUAUGAGGAAGUAAAUCAAAUCCUUACACGGUUUUAAAAGCUGAUUUAAAAAAAAAGAGAAGUAAUUUUCUGCAGCAUCAGGUAUGGUUAGAGACAUUAGUGGAAGUCGUUCAUUCAUCUCUCAGACAAACAUUUUAAAACGUGUUUACAAUCGUAAAAUCUGAUAAGAAUCAUUUACUCCGACAUUUAGGGUGAAACAGAAUCAAGCUUUAAAUCAAGCCACGUUUUUAUAGUUUAAGAAAACCCAUUUGUCCCUCUGCUAAAUUCCUCGGAACAACUCAGGCGAAGCUCUGCUAAAGGCUUUACAGUUUUUAGAGUCAGUUUGUCUAAAAAUGAAGAGGUUAACAUUCGACCAAUGAAAGCUCCGGUCAGAUGCCUGCAGGCAACGAUGACAACUGUGUCAGGAAUUUGUUGGUGUGUCUCCUACACACAUGCACUCAUCAGGGCGAUGAUUGCAUGCAAACACAUACUCAAUCCGUCACAGAUUCUCUUUCGUUAACGUUUGUUAACUGAACCAAAGCAGCGCCGCAGCCCUGGCUGAGGAGAUGCCAGGAUCCAGAGAACUUCCACCACAAACAGCGUGAGGGAGGCGUGACAGGUGAGCAAGCCACGGACUGCCCACCUGCGUCCUUCAGGUCAACCAGGACGCCGGCAAGGUUAUUAUGCAACACCAGUUACUGAGUGCAGAGAAACUCCGUCGUCCACAUCAGCGCGUGCGUGGAUUCAUCAAAAUGACAGAGAGUCUUACCGAAGGUCUGUACUUCAUGGCUCCUGCCGUCUUCCCAGGGAUUUGGUUGUUCUCUGCGUUCCACCACGGCCUUGGUGGAAUGUGGCCUCCAGCGUCAGCGCCACUUUUCAGCCCAGGGUUUGUUUUUAGAAGCUCUCCCCUCCGUCCUGAGAGCCAGCUGCCAUGCUUCUCCUCUUACUGCCUCUCUCCACGUCGCUCUGCCUCCUCUCCACUCCUUCACCCACUUUGCUUCUCCCUCCCUUCAGAGGAAACAGCCCCUCUCUGGGGUGACAUGUAACCCCACUCCCACCAAUAACUUUUUUUUUUUUUUAAUUACUUCCUCCUGAAGACAACAAGCACUUUAAGUCUGAAGGAAAACUGGAUAAGAUGAACUACAGUAAGAAAGAAAUUCUAAAAGCAGAACAGCUGACGGGUUCUAGGUUAACUUUUGUGGAGGUUCUAAGCCUAGUCCUGACUGUUCUUUUAACCUCUUGACUACCAGCGAUGUAAAUGUGUCCUCUGUAUAGGACAUUUAUAAACAUGAACAUCUCCAAACCACUGCAUACUAUUGAAUAAACUCCUAGUUGAAUCUCCAAA